GGGGGUGAAUGGCCUCGACUUGUGUUAUCAGUGGGUAGGUGGCAUGCCGCGGAAGCUUGGUUGGCCGCGUUAACAAUCCGAGCACAAACUAAACGCUAACGAUGAAACGUUAACGUUCGAUGGAGUUAUGGGUCAGUUUGCUAAGGCAGCUCCGGCUGUCCCGGCUAUGCCCAUGGUUCCGUCGUUCGCGUUGGCCCGCUAAGGAGCCAAUCCCUCUUGCCUGAUAUGUCUGCGGUCGGGGAUAAGAGGUCAUAAGCAGACUUGUCCUGAUGAUGAGCUUACCGCAUCGGGAUAAGAUCAAGAAAAGCUAGUCCCGGAUCAAUCCUGUCGGACGGAGGGUGAGGGAUGAAUCAACAAAGAAGACCGACUAAGCAUGUAGAGGCUUAUCUUACGGAACUCAAGGACGCGGGUUCAAUUCCCGCCACCUCCACCA
rnacentral:tmRNA from 1 species